rnacentral:lncRNA from 1 species
ACCCCCAACCUGCGGGCGCAAAGAACUUGGAGGGAACUGACGACCGAACUGCCCCGAGGUGAAAACCCGGGACUGCCCGCCCCAUUCCCCUCAACAACCCCCCUCCCCGGACCCCCCAAGCCUUCCCUUGGGCAGAUGCUGAACAGAGCCGGAAAAAAAAAGUCUACACUUAUUUAAUAUGACAGUCUUUGCAAAAACGAACAAAACAGAAACCCAACAGGCUGCUUUGUAGAAAGACGGUGUGUGCUGUGAAGGCGAACCUCUCUGUGUACAUAUCCCCUCCCUCUCUGCCCCGCCCCGCCGGGUACCGUAGAGUCCCUGUCCUCCCCACCACCCUGCCUGUAGAUACACCCUUCUGUCCGUGCUGUGAGAGUCGCCGCUCGCUGGGGGGGAGGGGGGACACAGCUACAUGCCCACUAAAGCACAGCACGUCCUGGGGGAGGGGGGCAUUUUUUUACGUUACAAAAACAAAUUAUGAAAGAAAUCUCUAUGCAAAAUGACGAACAUGGUCCCGCGGACACCUCUCGCCUGUUUCGUUGGCUGUUUCUCUGUAAUUCCGUGUUUUCGCGCUCACCGCCCCGCAUCUCUCCCUCUUCAUCUCCCUUUUCUCUGCUGCUCUCGGCCCUUCUGUGUCUCUUUCUCUGCUUCACUUGUCUCUGUCUCGGUCCCUUCUGUCCCAGGCCUCCAAGGCUACAUCAAAGGUGGCAGAGCCAAUCUCGGGGCUUGGCCCCUUGUGGCCAUGCCCCACGUGCCCCACCAGGCCGCCCUGCCCCGCCCCACCCUGUAGUUGCUCUCUCGGUAGCGGCGAUGCUCCCUGCAUGUCUCCUCAACCGUGGAUCGUGACGACUCGAAAUAACAGAAACAAAGUAAAUAAAAGUGAAAAAAAAACAAGUAAAUAAAUAAAUAAAUAAAUAAAUAAAUAAAUAAAUAAAUAAAAAUCCUUGAACAAAUCUGAAAAGGCUUGGAGUCCUAGCCCAGAUUGCGCUUCCCUUCGAGCCUUUUUCUUUGAAAAGGAAAGCGAGAAAAGAGAACAGUCUAAGGGAACUGCCGGCACCCGACCGGGCUCCAGUGGCUGGAGCCGGAUGGUGAGGGCAAUGAGGUCUCGGCUUCGAGGCCCAGCCUGACCCCAGUCUUGUGUGGAGCUGGCCGCGCUCCAGGAGUGCGGAAUCCAGGAUAAGGCUUAGCCUUCCACAAGUUCCUGGCUCCUCUGCCACUUUCAACGUGUCGGUUCGUUUUGUUUAUUUUUUCCUUUUUCCCCCCUUCCUUUCCUUCUCUCUCUUCUUUUUUUAUGCACAUGAUAAAUAAUAAUAAUAAAUAAUAAUAAUAAUAAAAUUUUGUAUGUCACUC